rnacentral:rRNA from 1 species
AUACGUAGGUGGCAAGCGUUGUCCGGAAUUAUUGGGCGUAAAGCGCGCGCAGGUGGUUCCUUAAGUCUGAUGUGAAAGCCCCCGGCUCAACCGGGGAGGGUCAUUGGAAACUGGGGAACUUGAGUGCAGAAGAGGAUAGUGGAAUUCCAAGUGUAGCGGUGAAAUGCGUAGAGAUUUGGAGGAACACCAGUGGCGAAGGCGACUGUCUGGUCUGUAACUGACACUGAGGCGCGAAAGCGUAGGGAGCAAACAGGAUUAGAUACCCUGGUAGUCCACGCCGUAAACGAUGAGUGCUAAGUGUUGGGGGGUUUCCGCCCCUCAGUGCUGCAGCUAACGCAUUAAGCACUCCGCCUGGGGAGUACGGUCGCAAGACUGAAACUCAAAUGAAUUGACGGGG